rnacentral:rRNA from 1 species
CAGUAGCCGCGGGAAUACGAAGGGUGCAAGCGUUACUCGGAAUUACUGGGCGUAAAGCGUGCGUAGGUGGUGGUUUAAGUCCGUUGUGAAAGCCCUGGGCUCAACCUGGGAAUUGCAGUGGAUACUGGGUCACUAGAGUGUGGUAGAGGAUAGUGGAAUUUCCGGUGUAGCAGUGAAAUGCGUAGAGAUCGGAAGGAACAUCUGUGGCGAAGGCGACUAUCUGGGCCAACACUGACACUGAGGCACGAAAGCGUGGGGAGCAAACAGGAUUAGAUACCCCCGUAGUCCCUGUCUCUUAUAC